UGCAGUCGAGCGGAGUGAUGGUGCUUGCACUAUCACUUAGCGGCGGACGGGUGAGUAAUGCUUAGGAAUCUGCCUAUUAGUGGGGGACAACAUUUCGAAAGGAAUGCUAAUACCGCAUACGUCCUACGGGAGAAAGCAGGGGAUCUUCGGACCUUGCGCUAAUAGAUGAGCCUAAGUCGGAUUAGCUAGUUGGUGGGGUAAAGGCCUACCAAGGCGACGAUCUGUAGCGGGUCUGAGAGGAUGAUCCGCCACACUGGGACUGAGACACGGCCCAGACUCCUACGGGAGGCAGCAGUGGGGAAUAUUGGACAAUGGGCGCAAGCCUGAUCCAGCCAUGCCGCGUGUGUGAAGAAGGCCUUAUGGUUGUAAAGCACUUUAAGCGAGGAGGAGGCUACUGAAGUUAAUACCUUCAGAUAGUGGACGUUACUCGCAGAAUAAGCACCGGCUAACUCUGUGCCAGCAGCCGCGGUAAUACAGAGGGUGCAAGCGUUAAUCGGAUUUACUGGGCGUAAAGCGCGCGUAGGCGGCUAAUUAAGUCAAAUGUGAAAUCCCCGAGCUUAACUUGGGAAUUGCAUUCGAUACUGGUUAGCUAGAGUGUGGGAGAGGAUGGUAGAAUUCCAGGUGUAGCGGUGAAAUGCGUAGAGAUCUGGAGGAAUACCGAUGGCGAAGGCAGCCAUCUGGCCUAACACUGACGCUGAGGUGCGAAAGCAUGGGGAGCAAACAGGAUUAGAUACCCUGGUAGUCCAUGCCGUAAACGAUGUCUACUAGCCGUUGGGGCCUUUGAGGCUUUAGUGGCGCAGCUAACGCGAUAAGUAGACCGCCUGGGGAGUACGGUCGCAAGACUAAAACUCAAAUGAAUUGACGGGGGCCCGCACAAGCGGGGGAGCAUGUGGUUUAAUUCGAUGCAACGCGAAGAACCUUACCUGGCCUUGACAUAGUAAGAACU
rnacentral:rRNA from 1 species